UACGGAGGGUGCAAACGUUGCUCGGAAUCAUUGGGCGUAAAGCGCACGUAGGCGGCUUGUUAAGUCGGGUGUGAAAUCCCUGGGCUCAACCCAGGAAGUGCACUCGAAACUGGCGAGCUUGAGUAUGGAAGAGGGUCGCGGAAUUCCCGGUGUAGAGGUGAAAUUCGUAGAUAUCGGGAGGAACACCAGUGGCGAAGGCGGCGACCUGGGCCAAUACUGACGCUGAGGUGCGAAAGCGUGGGGAGCAAACAGG
rnacentral:rRNA from 1 species